rnacentral:rRNA from 1 species
ACUCCUACUGGAGGCAGCAGUGGGGAAUAUUGCACAAUGGGCGCAAGCCUGAUGCAGCGACGCCGCGUGAGGGAUGACGGCCUUCGGGUUGUAAACCUCUUUCAGCACCGACGAAGCGCAAGUGACGGUAGGUGCAGAAGAAGGACCGGCCAACUACGUGCCAGCAGCCGCGGUAAUAC